GAUGUGGGAGUUGUCCAUAUUAAGGAGUGUAAAGAGACAAGUUAUCAACAAGGUUUUCUGAUAAAAUUAAUCUUUUCAUGCCAUAUUACACACGAUGUACUAUUUCAGAGUCCCAGAUGAAAUUAAAAUUCAGCUACUUUUUUGAUGUUUGGUAGCAGAAGAUAUGCUUUUUCCAAUACAUUGAUAGGAUCAAAAUUAAAACAACGACCCCAACGAAUUUGUGGUUAUUACUGUGAUUUAGAGUGGUUAUCCCUACUUGAUUUAGUCACCAUGGUAUUGAUGACAACAGACUCCAACCCUAAUUAUGAGUGACUCUAAACUCAAAUAAGAAUUUUUCAAAUCACUUCUUCCUCUGAGAUUUACUUCUUAUUCGUUUUCCAAGGUGCAAAUACAAAUUUCAUAUUUUCCUUUAUUUAUUAUCUUUACGUGCGCAUCAUUACAGGAUCACUUUAGACGUGGUUACCUUUGAAUAAUUGACAUUACAACCUUCAAAAAGAAAUUUUAAUUCAUCUUUUAAAUAUAAUGCUGAAGUUCUCUCGUUACCAGUCUACCGGAUCAAGCUAAGAAAAAGUCUUAACUAAUUAUUUUGUUGGGAUGUUCCAUAUCUUAACUAGGAUUACUACAACAACCCCUUUGUUCAACAUAGAACGAGCUAAGGCCCAUCGCAAAGUACAAAUGACACAUGUACUUCCCAUGUCAAAACUCCCCAUAUUUCCC
rnacentral:lncRNA from 1 species